GGAGUUGUGGCUCAGUGGUAGAGUGCUUGCCUAGGAUGCAUGAGGCACUGGGUUCGAUCCCUGCCACCACA
rnacentral:tRNA from 1 species